UGGGGAAUAUUGCACAAUGGGCGCAAGCCUGAUGCAGCCAUGCCGCGUGUGUGAAGAAGGCCUUCGGGUUGUAAAGCACUUUCAGCGGGGAGGAAGGCGUUAAGGUUAAUAACCUUGGCGAUUGACGUUACCCGCAGAAGAAGCACCGGCUAACUCCGUGCCAGCAGCCGCGGUAAUACGGAGGGUGCAAGCGUUAAUCGGAAUUACUGGGCGUAAAGCGCACGCAGGCGGUCUGUCAAGUCGGAUGUGAAAUCCCCGGGCUCAACCUGGGAACUGCAUUCGAAACUGGCAGGCUAGAGUCUUGUAGAGGGGGGUAGAAUUCCGGGUGGAGCGGUGAAAUGCGUAGAGAUCUGGAGGAAUACCGGUGGCGAAGGCGGCCCCCUGGACAAAGACUGACGCUCAGGUGCGAAAGCGUGGGGAGCAAACAGG
rnacentral:rRNA from 1 species